GGUGGCCGAGUGGUCGAAGGCGCUCCCCUGCUAAGGGAGUAGAGGUCAAAAGCUUCUCGUGGGUUCGAAUCCCAUCCUCUCCGCCA
rnacentral:tRNA from 1 species